CCUACGGGUGGCAGCAGUGAGGAAUAUUGGUCAAUGGGCGGAAGCCUGAACCAGCCAAGUCGCGUGAGGGAUUAAGGCCCUGCGGGUCGUAAACCUCUUUUGCCGGGGAGCAGAGUUCUGGACGUGUCCGGGCCUGUAUAGUCCCCGUAGAUAAAGCCUGGGCUAACCCCGGCCCGGCAGCCGCGGUAAUCCGGGGGAGGGGGGGGUUAUCCGAUUUUAUUGGGUUUAAGGGGUGCUUAGUGGGGCGUUAAAUCCGGCGGUAAAAUGUGGGGGCUCAACCCCGGCCUGCCGUUGAAACUGGGUGCCUUGAGUGGGCGAGAAGUGUGCGGAAUGCGUGGUGUAGCGGUGAAAUGCAUAGAUAUCACGAAGAACCCCGAUUGCGAAGGCAGCAUACCGGAGUGCUACUGACGCUGAGGCACGAAAGUGCGGGUAUCGAACAGGAUUAGAUACCCUAGUAGUC
rnacentral:rRNA from 1 species